CCGCAAGAUGCGAAUUAGUUCAGAAAGUCAAUCGCGCAAUUGGAAAAUUUCGUGAAGGUAUGUUGGAGAUGGGCAGCCAGAUUAUUGCAGAUGCAAGCAAAGAAGAUGUUCUCGAGUUGUAUGCCGAUCUAUAUCCCACUUCUGAAAAAUUGUUGUCACUCGUUAUACCUGACGUCGAUGGUGCCUUAACGAAGCUAGAAGAGGAGGUAUUACAACAUCUGCGAAGAUAUAUAUGUGCAGCCGAUUCUGGAACACUUAGAAGCCUACUUCGGUUUAUUACUGGGAGCCAUUACUUAGUUGCGUCUGAAAUUAAAGUAAUUUUUCACUUGAGCAUUGGAAACAUCCCCUGCUUUGUUGUACAUACCUGUAGUUGUACCGUGGAUCUUCCAGUCGGCAGUUAUCUUGGUUUUGCCGACUUCAAAUCGCAACUUGAUAGUAUUUUGAGUAAUCCUGAAUCGUGGAAAUUCUAUCUUGUAUAGACGUCAUCUCCAUUGUUUUCCGCAUAUUGGUCUUCUACGUGGACUGGUUACAAUUGAUCAUGCAUGUCACUCUCACAGACCGACGUCGCUGUUAUUGGUUCGGCGCCGCACUAGUUGUUGUUGUUAUUUAUCUGAUUUCAAGGAACAGAACCAACAAUUGAGCGAACGCUUCCAAAAGUGUUAAUUAACUUCACUACACGUGAAGUGCAUUUCGCAAAGACGGGUCAAAAUAAUACACAGUUGCUGUGAUGUUAUGUUAUGUUAUGUUGUGUUGUGUUAUAAAAUAGCCAGGGUAACGCCAUAGGUUUAUGUUUUGUUUCUCACAAUUGAAUGGAGCAACGUUUUGCAACUGAGCAAAGUUUAAUCCAUCUGCCGCCACAUCUAGCCUAGUUAUAGUGAUAGGUUUUUACUACAAUACAUACAAGUGGUCGCGUUCUCUUAUAAUCAACGCAGUUUGUAGUUCAUAUAUCUCUAGUUAACGGAACUGAAAAAUGUACCAAAAUGACUUCAUGUCCGAUGCUUUGUCUUGAAUUAUUUUGCGUUUUAAGCCAAACUGCAUGUCACCUAUGUGCACUAUUUGCUCCCACGUGGAAGCAAACAACGAAAUGUAUUUCAUUUAUGUUUAUCAAUAUUUAUAGUGCAAUCCAUCUGAUAUAAUGUGUAAAUUUUGAUAAAACGAAAGCAAUUUUGGAGACUGCUUCGGUCGUUUUCGUUGUGCUUGCUCAAAUUAUAUGCAUUUACUUCUUUAACUGUAAGUCUGUUUUCCACUUCAGCAUUUCGCCCGCCGAUGCAUGGUGAAAAAUUUUCCUUUUUGUUUAACACCUUUUUGUGCGUUUAACACCUUUUUGUGCCUUCUUGGCUAUCAUUGGCGCGGCGACUGUAUAGUGGAAAUCCGGCUUAAGAUAUCGACACUAGACCAUAAUAUGAUAAGGGGUGGACCAUUAAAAAGUGAUGGGGUGGGGGACUUUUUUAACUUUUUAAAAUGUUUUGCUUGUGUCGACAUUUUUUUUAAAUAUAGUCUCUUGCACGAAUUAAUUUUUAUUUCAACUUAUAAUUGUCUUUCAAACUCCCCCCCCCAUUACUUUCCUAAUGGUCCGCCCCUAGGAUACAUAAUAAAAUUCAUAACGGCUUGCUAUCUGGCAAGUCCUUUGAGUUGUGUUUUCAUGUUAGUAGGAUUUAGAUACCAAUAUAUUAUUAGAACGCAUGGGCAGGAGGAGAACAAGGUGAAGAGUUGGUUAAUUGACCAAAGCAUAUACUGCCAUAUAAUGCAUGGGCAUUAUUUAUAUUAUUCUACUUGCAAAAGAAGAAAAUUAAAGGUCAUGUUCUUCUACAUCUUGUUAGUAUUAUAAUGAUAUGAUUAUGUUUAAACUAGAAUGUGAAUUCGAUGUUAAUGUUUAGCAUUAACUGCGCAUGCAGCUCAACUUUAAGCCUAGUUUCCAUUUGGUCGUUAGUUGUCGCUGGCACGACAAGUGGCUGAUGUAAUAGAUUGUCAAUAAAACUUUAUAAAACUCUGCAAUCAUUAAGACCGAUUUGCAUAUAACACACAAAAUACUAUUAUUAUAUUAGACUAUUUCACAUCUACUGCUUGUCGUGCCAGCGACAACUAACGACCAAAUGGAAACUAGGCUUAAUCAUCGAGUAGAUAAUUAUUUGGCUGGGCAACACCGGG
rnacentral:lncRNA from 1 species